rnacentral:rRNA from 2 species
AGGUUAAGUUAACAAGGGCGCAUGGUGAAUGCCUUGGCACUAGGAGCCGAUGAAGGACGGGACUAACACCGAUAUGCUUCGGGGAGCUGUACGUAAGCUAUGAUCCGGAGAUUUCCGAAUGGGGCAACCCAGCAGUUUUAAUCAACUGUUACCACUAGAUGAAUUCAUAGUCUAGUUGGAGGUAAACGCUGUGAACUGAAACAUCUCAUUAGCAGCAGGAAUAUAAAGAAAUUUCGAUUCCCUAAGUAGCGGCGAGCGAACGGGGAACAGCCCAAACCAAAGUGCUUGCACUUUGGGGUUGUAGGACUGAACAUUUGAGUUACCAAAGAACUUGAUAGUCGAAGGAUUUGGGAAAAUCCGCCAUAGAUGGUGAUAGCCCAGUAGAUUAAAUCAAAUUCUCUCAGUUCAGGAUCCUGAGUACGGCGGAACACGUGAAAUUCCGUCGGAAUCCGGGAGGACCAUCUCCCAAGGCUAAAUACUACCUAGUGACCGAUAGUGAACCAGUACCGUGAGGGAAAGGUGAAAAGCACCCCGGGAGGGGAGUGAAAUAGUUCCUGAAACCAUGUGCCUACAAUAAGUCAGAGCGCGUUAAUGCGUGAUGGCGUGCCUUUUGUAGAAUGAACCGGCGAGUUAUGAUCCCGUGCAAGGUUAAGACUAAAAAGUCGGAGCCGUAGCGAAAGCGAGUCUGAAAUGGGCGUUUUGAGUACGAGGUUAUAGACCCGAAACCAGGUGACCUAUCCAUGUCCAGGUUGAAGGUGCGGUAAAACGCACUGGAGGACCGAACCCGUGUAAGUUGAAAAUUGCUGGGAUGAGGUGUGGAUAGCGGUGAAAUUCCAAACGAACUUGGAGAUAGCUGGUUCUCUCCGAAAUAGCUUUAGGGCUAGCCUCGGAAUUAGGAUCAUGGAGGUAGAGCACUAUUUGGACUAGGGGCCCGUCUUGGGUUACUGAAUUCAGAUAAACUCCGAAUGCCAUUGAUUCAUAUCCGGGAGUCAGACGAUGAGUGAUAAGAUCCACCGUCGAAAGGGGAACAGCCCAGACCAUCAGUUAAGGUCCCUAAAUGUAUGCUAAGUGGAAAAGGAUGUGGAGUUGCAUAGACAACUAGGAUGUUGGCUCAGAAGCAGCCACCAUUUAAAGAGUGCGUAAUAGCUCACUAGUCGAGUGAUCCUGCGCCGAAAAUGUACCGGGGCUAAGCAUACUACCGAAACCAUGGAUGCGACCAUUAGGUCGCGUGAUAGGAGAGCGUUCUAAGGGCGGUGAAGCAAGAUCGUGAGGACUUGUGGAGCGCUUAGAAGUGAGAAUGCCGGUAUGAGUAGCGAAAGAUAGGUGAGAAUCCUAUCCACCGAAUGACUAAGGUUUCCUGGGGAAGGCUCGUCCUCCCAGGGUUAGUCGGGACCUAAGUCGAGGCCGAGAGGCGUAGACGAUGGAUAACAGGUUGAGAUUCCUGUACUAGUUAAGUGCGUUUGAGCAAUGGAGGGACGCAGGAGGCUAAGAUGUGCAUUCUGUUGGAUUAGAAUGUCCAAGCAGUAAGUCUUGUGAAGAGUCAAAUGCUUUUCACUUUAAGGACAAGCUGUGAUGGGGAGCGAAAUUUAGUAGCGAAGCGUCUGAUGUCACACUGCCGAGAAAAGCUUCUAGUGAGUACUUAACUACCCGUACCGCAAACCGACACAGGUAGUCGAGGAGAGAAUCCUAAGGUGAGCGAGUGAACUCUCGUUAAGGAACUCGGCAAAAUGACCCCGUAACUUCGGGAGAAGGGGUGCUGAUCGCAAGAUCAGCCGCAGUGAAUAGGCCCAGGCGACUGUUUAUCAAAAACACAGGUCUCUGCAAAAUCGUAAGAUGACGUAUAGGGGCUGACGCCUGCCCGGUGCUGGAAGGUUAAAAGGAUGGGUUAGCUUCGGCGAAGCUCAGAAUUGAAGCCCCAGUAAACGGCGGCCGUAACUAUAACGGUCCUAAGGUAGCGAAAUUCCUUGUCGGGUAAGUUCCGACCCGCACGAAAGGCGUAACGAUCUGGGCGCUGUCUCAACGAGAGACUCGGUGAAAUUAUAUUGUCCGUGAAGAUGCGGACUACCCGCGACAGGACGGAAAGACCCCAUGGAGCUUUACUGUAGCUUGAUAUUGAGUGUUUGUACAGCUUGUACAGGAUAGGUAGGAGCCAUAGAAACCGGAACGCUAGUUUCGGUGGAGGCGUUGGUGGGAUACUACCCUCGCUGUAUGACCACUCUAACCCGCACCACUAAUCGUGGUGGGAGACAGUGUCAGGUGGGCAGUUUGACUGGGGCGGUCGCCUCCUAAAGAGUAACGGAGGCGCCCAAAGGUUCCCUCAGAAUGGUUGGAAAUCAUUCGCAGAGUGUAAAGGCACAAGGGAGCUUGACUGCGAGACAGACAGGUCGAGCAGGGACGAAAGUCGGGCUUAGUGAUCCGGUGGUACCGUAUGGAAGGGCCAUCGCUCAACGGAUAAAAGCUACCCUGGGGAUAACAGGCUUAUCUCCCCCAAGAGUCCACAUCGACGGGGAGGUUUGGCACCUCGAUGUCGGCUCAUCGCAUCCUGGGGCUGUAGUCGGUCCCAAGGGUUGGGCUGUUCGCCCAUUAAAGCGGUACGCGAGCUGGGUUCAGAACGUCGUGAGACAGUUCGGUCCCUAUCCGUCGCGGGCGUAGGAAAUUUGAGAGGACCUGUCCUUAGUACGAGAGGACCGGGAUGGACAUACCUCUGGUGUACCAGUUGUGCCGCCAGGCGCAUCGCUGGGUAGCUACGUAUGGAUGUGAUAAACGCUGAAAGCAUCUAAGUGUGAAACACACCUCGAGAUGAGACUUCCCAUUCCUUUAUGGAAGUAAGACCCCUGAAAGAUGAUCAGGUAGAUAGGUUAGAAGUGGCAGUGCGGUGACGCAUGAAGCGGACUAAUACUAAUCGGUCGAGGACUUAACCAAG